UUGCUUGCUUUGGCAGCACAUACACUAAAAUUGGAAUGAUAAAGAGAAGAUUAGCAUGGCCCCUGUGCAAGGAUGACAUGCAAAUUUGUGAAGCAUUCCAUAUUUUU
rnacentral:snRNA from 1 species